GGACCAAAAAACUUACCUCAAUUUCACGAAUUGAUUGUGGAUAACUGCAACGCAAUGCGGUGAAGUGGAGACAACAAGUAUUGACGGAUAACAACGAAGGCAGCGAUUGUGAAUCUAAGAUUUGUAGACUGAAUUGCAGCCGAGGGUAAUAGAGGCAUUCAAGGAAAAUAGUGGAGUCACCGGACGGACCAACAGAAGCGCCGAGGCCAGAGGAGGUGGGUGGGGGCGACGCAGCCGCGCACUAAGGCGGGGCGGAGGAUCUGAUGCGGGGGCGGCGACCUAGGGUUUAAAAUUUGGACGUGGGAGAGAGAGAGAGGCGGACGGGAGGAGGGGGAGUAGUGGUGGACGGAACAGAAGGAGGCGUCCGUGGAUAUUGACGGGGAGAGAAGGCGGCGCGGAAAGAUCGGCGGAAAAGGGCGGCGCGGAGAAGUCGAAGUCCUAGGGUUCUAGAUUUGGAGGUGGGGGUUCAUUGGAAGACAAAGAAGGGAGAGAGAGCAUAGAGCCGUUGAAAGCGGCGGCUCGCCGGAUUUCAUCAGAGGCCAUAGAGAGAGGUGAUGAGGGUGAAAUGGCAGACGGAGAGAUGCGCCGGAGAAGGAAGAACGAGAGAGAGA
rnacentral:lncRNA from 1 species